GACACGCGUGGAGGACGUUUUACUCCCCUUCGCCACGCGUCGAGACAAACGAGCUCCACCGUUGGAAUCGCCAAACACCACUGCAGUUCUGAUUUGCCACCAUCAAUCGGCCAGUGACCGAUGAAGAUCUUUGUGCCUUCUGUCGAUCUCGAAUGCAAGCGCCUAGAUGUCGAUAUUCUGCCGGAUCAAGUCUAAAGAGCUGCUUCAAAAUCUCCAAUUAGCACCAUCGUCGGGGAAGCUUCAUCAUUGGCUACACCCAAAAUUGAUGUAGCUUGAUCUUUGCUCGUACGUUGUGACCAAAACGAAGAGAUGAAGAUGUUAUUCCUCAAACAAUUUGGUGGAAACAAAGAGAAUUAUGAAGAAGGCGGAGAUGUCGACAAACGCUUAAGAUGGAGAUCUAAGCUCGUCACGGCGAGAGAACCGGACAAAACCGGUGACAAAAGUCUGACACAUAGCCAGAAUUAUUGAGAUCGCACUAAGACGAAAGAUAUACAUAUCCGGCUAACCGGAAACAAAAGUUUAUACAAGUGAACUCUCUCUCUCUCUCAAGGAUAUGUGAGAGAUAAGAGAAAGAGGAAAUUCUCUUAAUUACUAAUAUAUUUCUUAUCAGCGAUUUGUCCAAAUGAUUCAAUUAUAUAAUGGAUUUCCAACAAAUUAUGAAUCAUGUAAUUAUUAUAAUAUGCUUUAUAAGCUCAUUAUCCUCUUAUGCUCAUUUUACGAAGAAAUUGCAGCAAAUUAGACAAGGCCAAAUGGCUAUUAAUCAAAUAUGGGGAGGUGUGAUUAAUUUUUG